rnacentral:rRNA from 1 species
GACGAACGCUGGCGGCGUGCCUAAUACAUGCAAGUUGAGCGCUGAAGGUUGGUACUUGUACCAACUGGAUGAGCAGCGAACGGGUGAGUAACGCGUGGGGAAUCUGCCUUUGAGCGGGGGACAACAUUUGGAAACGAAUGCUAAUACCGCAUAAAAACUUUAAACACAAGUUUUAAGUUUGAAAGAUGCAAUUGCAUCACUCAAAGAUGAUCCCGCGUUGUAUUAGCUAGUUGGUGAGGUAAAGGCUCACCAAGGCGAUGAUACAUAGCCGACCUGAGAGGGUGAUCGGCCACAUUGGGACUGAGACACGGCCCAAACUCCUACGGGAGGCAGCAGUAGGGAAUCUUCGGCAAUGGACGAAAGUCUGACCGAGCAACGCCGCGUGAGUGAAGAAGGUGUUCGGAUCGUAAAACUCUGUUGGUAGAGAAGAACGUUGGUGAGAGUGGAAAGCUCAUCAAGUGACGGUAACUACCCAGAAAGGGACGGCGAACUACGU